rnacentral:tRNA from 1 species
UGCGGAAUAAAGCAGCGGUUAGCUUACCAGUCUCAUAAGCUGGGUGUCGUGAGUUCGAAUCUCACUUCCGCAA